rfam:Halorubrum lacusprofundi ATCC 49239 chromosome 1, complete sequence.
GGGCCUUUAGCUUAGUCCGGUUAAAGCGACUCGCUCAUAACGAGUCGAUCGCCGGUUCGAAUCCGGCAAGGCCCA